rnacentral:rRNA from 1 species
UACAGAGGUGGCAAGCGUUGUUCGGAAUUACUGGGCGUAAAGGGCGCGUAGGCGGCCUUCUAAGUCAGACGUGAAAUCCCCCGGCUUAACCUGGGAACUGCGUCUGAUACUGGGAGGCUCGAGUAUGGGAGAGGGAUGUAGAAUUCCAGGUGUAGCGGUGAAAUGCGUAGAUAUCUGGAGGAACACCGGUGGCGAAGGCGAGUCUCUGGGCAGUAACUGACGCUGAGGAGCGAAAGCGUGGGUAGCAAACAGG